rnacentral:rRNA from 1 species
AUCCUGGCUCAGGACGAACGCUGGCGGCGUGCCUAAUACAUGCAAGUCGAGCGAGACUYUUCGGAGUCUAGCGGCGGACGGGUGAGUAACACGUGGGCAACCUGCCUGUAAGACUGGGAUAACACCGGGAAACCGGUGCUAAUACCGGAUAAUCCUUUUCCUCUCAUGAGGAAAAGCUGAAAGWCGGUUUCGGCUGWCACUUACAGAUGGGCCCGCGGCGCAUUAGCUAGUUGGUGAGGUAACGGCUCACCAAGGCGACGAUGCGUAGCCGACCUGAGAGGGUGAUCGGCCACACUGGGACUGAGACACGGCCCAGACUCCUACGGGAGGCAGCAGUAGGGAAUCUUCCACAAUGGACGAAAGUCUGAUGGAGCAACGCCGCGUGAGCGAUGAAGGCCUUCGG